UCAUGAUCUUUUUCACAUAUUAUGCAUACAUAAUUUCUAGGGAGUUCUUUUCCAAGUAUAUAUUGUCUUAUUUUUGAAUAAUCAUCAAUAGUUACCUGAUUUUUUCUUUUGGGCUAGGUCUAUCUUUUUUUUGUUCUCUAGGCAUUGUAAAGUUCUAUAAAUUUCUUGAAGGGAUCCCUCCUGUGAACUUUUGUGUGUUUAAGUUCCUCUUUUUUUGCAAGAAAACUUUUUAUGUAUCACAAAAUUAUAAAUCCUAUUAAUGAUCAUAUAUGUCUUCUAUUUUGCUCUAAUUAAUAUUGUUAUCCUCAUACUUAAAACUAACUUAUUUUUUUGAGAAAAGUUUGCAGUUUGACUGUAGUUGGCAAGUAAUAUUGAGUUGUCUCUUGCAUGGGUUACCAAUGUUCAGCUCGGUAACUGCAGUUGAUUUAAUAAACGCAUAUGUCAUCAUACCUCAAGAUAUGUGGGAUCUUAGGUUAUAUAAAAGAAUGCCAUCAGUUUUCUAAUUGGCCAAACAUGGAUGAAAGAAGAUUUCCUCACAAUAAUGUGAAAUCUACAAGUUGUGAUCUCCUAGGUCAGAGAUAAAAGAGAUGACAAAGAAACCAGUUUCCAAGCUCCUAGCCCAACGUGAGCAUUGUAUAUAAGCAGCUACCAAACUUCAUAUCUCAAGUUAGUUUCCUUAUGUUAUUUGUGAAUUAGUUCUUCAACUUGAGUACUCCAAGGAUCUUACAGCUUCGAGCGCCACCUGGAUGUGUGUUUUCCGCGAAUGUUUCUUAUGAAUAUCAUGAUCAUGCAGUGCAUCAUGAAGUGUCCCAUUUCUACAACACUCAUAUACAGGUAGCUGCUAGCCAUGCUUAGCAAAGUAACCCACCAUAUCCACAAAGAGUAGCAUG